CUACGUGCCAGCAGCCGCGGUAAUACGUAGGGUGCGAGCGUUAAUCGGAAUUACUGGGCGUAAAGCGGGCGCAGACGGUUACUUAAGCAGGAUGUGAAAUCCCCGGGCUCAACCUGGGAACUGCGUUCUGAACUGGGUGACUAGAGUGUGUCAGAGGGAGGUAGAAUUCCACGUGUAGCAGUGAAAUGCGUAGAGAUGUGGAGGAAUACCGAUGGCGAAGGCAGCCUCCUGGGAUAACACUGACGUUCAUGCCCGAAAGCGUGGGUAGCAAACAGGAUUAGAUACCCUGGUAGUCCACGCCCUAAACGAUGUCGAUUAGCUGUUGGGCAGCUUGACUGCUUAGUAGCGAAGCUAACGCGUGAAAUCGACCGCCUGGGGAGUACGGUCGCAAGAUUAAAACUCAAAGGAAUUGACGGGGACCCGCACAAGCGGUGGAUGAUGUGGAUUAAUUCGAUGCAACGCGAAGA
rnacentral:rRNA from 1 species